GGAGCUGACUGGGUAGUCGCUGCUUUGUUGAUGUCCUUCGGGAGACUGACGUUGAGGUCCUUUUAGGAGACUGACGUUGACGUCCUUCGGGAGACUGACAAGGGGGAGGAAAGUCCGGGCUUCAUAGAGCAAGGUGCCAGGUAACGCCUGGGGGGCGCAAGCCCACGACAAGUGCAGCAGAGAGAAGACCGCCGAUGGCCUAUCUUUUCGCAAGAGAAGGGGCACAGGUAAGGGUGAAAGGGUGCGGUAAGAGCGCACCGGACGACUAGUAAUAGUUCGUAGCAGGGUAAACUCCACCUGAAGCAAGACCAAAUAGGCCUCCACAUUGCGUUGCUCGCGUAAGGAGGCGGGUAGGUUGCUCGAGCCAGUGAGUGAUUGCUGGCCUAGACGAAUGGCUACCGCCGCGCAAGCGGAACAGAACCCGGCUUAUGUGUCGGCUCCACCU
rnacentral:RNase_P_RNA from 1 species